CACUUUGCAUCUGAUGCCCAAACACAUUUCGAAUGGCAUUCGUGAUCCUACUGCACGAUAUACAAGAAGAAACAGAUGCUGCUAUAAAUUUUGGCGAAAUACACGUAUCAUCGAGUGAGAGAAUAUUAUUUAAAGCAUUAGGACCAUGCAGGAUUUAAAAGAAUCCGAAAAUAUGAUUCCAAUAGCUAGUCCUUUGCUAUAAAAUUUCUCGCAGUCACAAUGAUUAGAACUUUUUUUCAUAAUCUAUUAGAUUCAUCGAGGACAGUUAUCAUUUAGCUGCAUGCAUUAGGACACGUCAAUCGAUCGGAUAGUUCUUCUUCUAUUAUGCCCGCCAAAUUCAAAUUGAUGCAAGCUGCAUUUACAUGAAUACCCCGAAUUUCUGUCUGAAACUUUGCAGAUACAAUUUCCAUGUAUGCUAUUAUCGAUUGAAGUAAAAGAAAGUCGAUCUUUCAAAUCGGUGAUCCGGUAUAUCAAUCAAUGGGAGCUUGUGGGCCUUAUUUGUAAUAAGUUGGGAUGCUAAAGCGGACUUGAGCGUGCGAGGAACUAAGCAGGCAAUUGCAGAGCUACCAUCAUCUCCUAUGCCCUAUAUUGAUCACGCGCUCUGCCAGUUCUUCCUCCCUCUUUGUCGCAGCGAUUGCCGUUCUGAUUUUACGGCGCACGUGCGCGAACAUGUAUUUACACACGGGAUGCAUCCAACGAAUGUGAACGCAUACGACACCACCACGGGCCUGCCCCUUCAUUCUUCUUCCAUCUUCCUAGUUCUAAUGUUAGGAUGCUCUCUUUUCGGGGAAUGUUCACAGUCGCCCAUUAUCCGAGCUUCCUUUUGUCGAUUCGCACACAACAUGGUUGGCUGUUGGCUCAUUUAAUUCUCUCUCUUCUUAACACGUUGACUAUCGCGUGACUCGUGCAUCAAUCAUCUAAUCACUUCUAAAUUCAGUUAAUUUACUAAUCCUUUGGUGAGGAUCGCCACUGUAUUAAUGACAAGGCUAAUGUGUAAUAAAUAAUUUAAGAUCAUACAUUCUUGA